CCUACGGGUGGCAGCAGUGAGGAAUAUUGGUCAAUGGGCGCGAGCCUGAACCAACCAAGUAGCGUGAAGGAUGACUGCCCUACGGGUUGUAAACUUCUUUUAUAAAGUAAUAAAGUGAGGCACAUGUGCCUUUUUGUAUGUACUUUAUGAAUAAGGAUCGGCUAACUCCGUGCCAGCAGCCGCGGUAAUACGGAGGAUCCGAGCGUUAUCCGGAUUUAUUGGGGUUAAAGGGAGCGUAGAUGGGUUGUUAAGUCAGUUGUGAAAGUUUGCGGCUCAACCGUAAAAUUGCAAUUGAUACUGGCAGUCUUGAGUACAGUUGAGGUAGGCGGAAUUCGUGGUGUAGCGGUGAAAUGCGUAGAUAUCACGAAGAACUCCGAUUGCGAAGGCAGCUUACUAAACUGCCACUGACAGUGGUGCUCGAAAGUGUGGGUAGCAAACAGGAUUAGAUACCCCUGUAGUC
rnacentral:rRNA from 1 species